rnacentral:rRNA from 1 species
UACGUAGGGACCGAGCGUUGUCCGGAAUCAUUGGGCGUAAAGAGCGUGUAGGCGGCCACUUAAGUCCUGCGUGAAAUCUUGCGGCUCAACCGCAAGCGGUCGUGGGAAACUGGGUGGCUAGAGUGCGGGAGAGGAGAGUGGAAUUCCUGGUGUAGCGGUGGAAUGCGCAGAUAUCAGGAGGAACACCGGUGGCGAAGGCGGGUCUCUGGGCCGUUACUGACGCUGAGGAGCGAAAGCGUGGGGAGCGAACAGG